rnacentral:lncRNA from 1 species
CUUUCCUGUGUGGGUGGGCCCUGGGAAGGAAAGCUGACGGCACCCUCAUUCUCGACAGGUGAUGUCCUGCUUGGUGACACAUCCUGUCUGCUGGUUUCUUCCCUCUCCAGGCUCUGGGAUGAGUGAAGCUGAGAGCAGGGCCACCUACUGCCCCUGGCUGCUCCCUCCACUCUAUGUAACAUCAUAGAACGUCUGUGAAUUGGACUUGGAUGUGUCUCUUCUGGACAAGGUUUGGGAAAAAGACAGAGAUUCUUGAGAAGCCAAGAUGUUUGCAGCAAGGAACAUAUCUGAGUGACAGUCUUGAGAAGUAUAUCCGUGGCACAGUUUUGCAGGAGCAGUCUGGUGGCCCAGCCUCGAUUCUGAUUCUGCUGGUGUGAAGCUUCAUCUUAUAAGGAAUCUGUCUGAUGAGUUAAGCAGCUGGUAAGUUAAACCCAGUUCCUAAUUAUAAUAGUGAUUUUCCUUAAAAUGAAUAUUUGAACCAUUCUGAAUGUAUUUAUGAUCUAAACCUUCUAACCAACCUUUGGAAAACUUCAGAAACUUUAAAAUGCUAUUUUUACUAUUUGGGAAAACCUGGCUUCAGCUAUCAUGAAUUGUGAUUUGUAUAUGAGCUCUUAAAGUUAUCAGUGCCAUGUCUCUCAGCAGCUAUCAAAAUAUUGCUAGAUUUAUUUGUCUUUUCAUAUUUCAUAAAUUUAAUCAUAUUAUUAGCUCUUUGGAUUCCAUUAUGGAAAAAUGUUUAAUAUGAAGAAGAAUGCACUGGCCUAGCAGAUAAGUGGACAGUAUUGCAGUGAAGGAACUGAAGAUAUAUUUUAAAAAAUUAAAAUCAAAACACCAGUAUACUUCUAAGAUUAUGUAGAAGCAAAAAUAUAUGAUGAAAUUUUCAAAAAAGCUAUUUGAAUGGAUAGUAUUUAAGUGGUAGGUUCUUUUUCCUAAGUUUAGUUGAGAUGAAGAAAAAUUAUCAAAGGGGAACAUAAAUAUCUGUCUAAUUUGGAUACGGUUAAUUAAUUCAAAAGAAAGAAAAAAAAAAGUAUUAACUGGCUGAAAUAAGCAGUAUAUUUAUCUUCAGAAAUGUGGAAAGUCAGCUCAACCCAGACUAAAGAGAACGGUUUGACUUAAUGAUAGGAUGUUUCCCCACAGUGAGCAACCCCAGCCUUCAGGUAAGAAAAAGCAGAUUGUUUAAGGCAGGGAAACUCUGCUAUGUCUUAUCCAUAUUUACCCCAUGUUACAAUAUUACAUAUUUUAAAUAAGCUAUUCAAAAUAUAUAGUAAGAAUAAUACAGUGUACUCAUUGAUAGGACAAAUAUAAUGUCAAUGAAAAUGAAUAUUUGCUAAAUGUUUUAUCUUAAUAUAUACCAGUUUCUAUCCUAAGCUGUUAUAUAAG